GCGGAUGUGGCGGAAUUGGUAGACGCGCUGGAUUUAGGUUCCAGUGUCUCUGACGUAAGAGUUCGAGUCUCUUCAUCCGCA
rfam:Cyanothece sp. PCC 7822, complete genome.